rnacentral:misc_RNA from 1 species
AAUUGCCAGAAUCUGGCAAAAUUACAACACAUGAUGUGGAUGGGGUUCGGAAUAAUAAGAAGUAUCAAAAGGGGUCUAAUGAUUUGUCAAUUGAUAAAUCUAAAAAUGCUCCCACUGAUAUUCAGAAUGUGUCGACACCUGGGAAUCAUGAAGUUAAUGGAACCAGAAGCUCACUUGAGUCUUCUGCCGAUCAAGAAAAGAAAACAUCUAACCAAACGAGUGGCAAGAACAGUUCAGUUUCUGCAAAAGUCAGCGAUGGUACUAGUAGUCUAGCCAAAAAUAGUGGAAGUGGCAAGAUAAGUGAUCAUGCUGAUCUUGUUGAGAGUGGAAAGAGCAGCA